UACGUAGGGUCCAAGCGUUAUCCGGAAUCACUGGGCGUAAAGCGUGCGUAGGCGGCGUGUUAAGUGAGAUGUUAAAUCGUGUGGCUCAACCAUAUCGAUGCAUCUCAUACUGGCAUGCUAGAGGAAGGCAGAGGCAAGUGGAAUUUGUAGUGUAGCAGUGAAAUGCGUAGAUAUUACAAGGAACACCAAUGGCGAAGGCAGCUUGCUGGGCCUUUUCUGACGCUGAGGUACGAAAGCGUGGGGAGCGAACAGG
rnacentral:rRNA from 1 species